GACGAACGCUGGCGGCGUGCUUAACACAUGCAAGUCGAGCGAUGAAGCUUCCUUCGGGAAGUGGAUUAGCGGCGGACGGGUGAGUAACACGUGGGUAACCUGCCUCAAAGUGGGGGAUAGCCUUCCGAAAGGAAGAUUAAUACCGCAUAAUAUGAGAGAAUCGCAUGAUUUUCUUAUCAAAGAUUUAUUGCUUUGAGAUGGACCCGCGGCGCAUUAGCUAGUUGGUAAGGUAAUGGCUUACCAAGGCAACGAUGCGUAGCCGACCUGAGAGGGUGAUCGGCCACAUUGGAACUGAGACACGGUCCAGACUCCUACGGGAGGCAGCAGUGGGGAAUAUUGCGCAAUGGGGGAAACCCUGACGCAGCAACGCCGCGUGGGUGAUGAAGGUCUUCGGAUUGUAAAGCCCUGUUUUCUGGGACGAUAAUGACGGUACCAGAGGAGGAAGCCACGGCUAACUACGUGC
rnacentral:rRNA from 6 species